rnacentral:tRNA from 1 species
GUUCCCGUAGCUUAAUGGAUAAAGCGUCGGCCUCCGAAGCCGAAGACUGUGGGUUCGACUCCCGCCGGGAACACCA